ACGAACGCUGGCGGCGUGGAUAAGACAUGCAAGUCGAACGGAAUUACUUUUGUAGCAAUACAGAAGUAAUUCAGUGGCGAACGGGUGCGUAACACGUGGGCAAUCUGCCGAAAAGUGGGGGAUAGCUCGCCGAAAGGCGAAUUAAUACCGCAUGUGGUGAGGGACGACAUCUUCCUGAAUCCAAAGCCGGGGCAACCUGGCGCUUUUUGAGGAGCCCGCGGCCUAUCAGCUUGUUGGCGGGGUAACGGCCCACCAAGGCUAUGACGGGUAGCUGGUCUGAGAGGACGACCAGUCACACUGGAACUGAGACACGGGUCCAGACACCUACGGGUGGCAGCAGUCGAGAAUUUUCUCAAUGGGGGCAACCCUGAAGGAGCGACGCCGCGCGGAGGAUGAAGGCUUUUCGGGUUGUAAACUCCUGUCAUUUAGGGAACAAGCUGCACACGUUAACUGCGUGGGCAUUGAUAGUACCAGAAAGAGG
rnacentral:rRNA from 1 species